ensembl:snRNA U1 U1 spliceosomal RNA
AUACUUACCUGGCAGGGGAAAUACCAUGGGUGGUUUUCCCAGGGCAAGAUUUAUCCAUUGCACUCCAGAUGUGCUGACCCCUGCAAUUUUUCCAAGUGUUGGAAACUCAACUGCAUAAUUUGUGGUCAUGAGGGACUGUGUUUGUACUCUCCCUUG